GAGUUUGAUCAUGGCUCAGAUUGAACGCUGGCGGCAGGCCUAACACAUGCAAGUCGAGCGGUAGAGAGAAGCUUGCUUCUCUUGAGAGCGGCGGACGGGUGAGUAAUGCCUAGGAAUCUGCCUGGUAGUGGGGGAUAACGCUCGGAAACGGACGCUAAUACCGCAUACGUCCUACGGGAGAAAGCAGGGGACCUUCGGGCCUUGCGCUAUCAGAUGAGCCUAGGUCGGAUUAGCUAGUUGGUGAGGUAAUGGCUCACCAAGGCGACGAUCCGUAACUGGUCUGAGAGGAUGAUCAGUCACACUGGAACUGAGACACGGUCCAGACUCCUACGGGAGGCAGCAGUGGGGAAUAUUGGACAAUGGGCGAAAGCCUGAUCCAGCCAUGCCGCGUGUGUGAAGAAGGUCUUCGGAUUGUAAAGCACUUUAAGUUGGGAGGAAGGCAGUAAAUUAAUACUUUAGCUGUUUGUACGUUACCG
rnacentral:rRNA from 1 species